CUUUUUCCUAUCUUUCUGGUGUUAAUCUGAGGAAUGCCGAGUGCUCUUGUCAGUGACAUAUGUGCGUGCGGUUCUUCAUCCUAAUGAAUCUGGGGCUUUCUCUUCUGAACCCAAUGAAUUUUCGAUUUAAAAACAAAGACAACAACAACAAAAGAAAACAUACACAGCCCCCAAAAAUUACACAGGCUGCCAAAACAAUUGCUUGUUCUAUUUUGUAGAAUAUAGUCUCAAGUCAGGCUUAAAUGACGUUUGUUUCUUGAGACUUGUUAGAUAACGCUGAUGAAAUGUAUGGCUGUGUUCAUACAGUUACUGCCCUGCAAUCUUCCAGCCUGUCUGAUUUACAGGGUGUGUUAGAAUGGAGAUCUCAGCCCCUGGCAGGCAGCACUUCUGGGGGCAGCUGUGGGAUCCUGCUGCUGAGCAUUUAAUGCAAGAGCUGCUGUUUCACUGCAAUUUAGAUUUCAGCAUGUUCAGGGAGACAGCUGCUGCCUUUCAUUUUUCUUAGUACACCAGGCUGCAGUAGGGAACGUUUCUGUUGGAGCCGACAUGUGGUGGGGGGCAAGAGAAUAGGAGGGAGUGGAGGAUAGAGCUUCUGACUUUAUCGUGUUGUUCAUUCAUGAUUGUUGGGAGCAGCAGCCGAAUCAGAAGAGUUGAACCCUAUUGAUUGGUGUUGUGUUUUCUUUUGUGCACAGGGCCUAAAGUUAUUUUUUGUAGAUCUGUAGAGUUCAGUGAAGAAAAAGAGGGUUGGGAAGACAGAUGUAGAUUAUUGCUUGAGGAGCAGCUAGCUAACUAGGUGUAAGGGAAGUGUUUAAGAGAAACAGUGAAUUUAGAGACUUCUGCGAGUAGUGGAUUCAAAAACUUCUCCUAGGAAUAUGUUAGGUUUUCAUUAGUUUCUGGAUCGUCUUAGGAAGCAUAAGAAUUCCAAAUGGAAACUGAAACCAAACUAAUAAAACCUUUCUUGAAAAGAA